UCCUCCGUGGCGCAAUUGGCUAGCGCGUCUGACUGUUAUCAAGAUUUCCAUCUGGUGCGAUCAGGAGGUUGACAGUUCAAGCCUGUCCGGGGGAG
rfam:Microdochium bolleyi strain J235TASD1 unplaced genomic scaffold Micbo1qcscaffold_29, whole genome shotgun sequence.